rnacentral:pre_miRNA from 1 species
GGUCUGUCCGGAGGUCCCCUUGUUGCUUGAAUGCAAGCCAAGCUGGCUCUCCGAUAGCGUCGACGAAUAUCUUCGCUUGCGUUCAAGAACCAAGCGGACCUCCGCGCAGACCC